rnacentral:rRNA from 1 species
GAGGAAUAUUGGACAAUGGAUGGAAAUCUGACCCAGCCAUGCCGCGUGCAGGAAGACGGCCUUAUGGGUUGUAAACUGCUUUUAUCAGGGAAUAAACCCUUGUUUGUAAACAAGGCUGAAGGUACCUGAAGAAUAAGCAUCGGCUAACUCCGUGCCAGCAGCCGCGGUAAUACGGAGGAUGCAAGCGUUAUCCGGAUUCAUUGGGUUUAAAGGGUGCGCAGGCGGGCUAAUAAGUCAGGGGUGAAAUACUACGGCUCAACCGUGGAACUGCCUUUGAUACUGUUAGUCUUGAGUAUAGUUGAAGUGGGCGGAAUGUAGCAUGUAGCGGUGAAAUGCAUAGAGAUGCUACAGAACACCGAUAGCGAAGGCAGCUCACUAAGUUAGUACUGACGCUCAUGCACGAAAGCGUGGGGAUCAAAC